rnacentral:rRNA from 1 species
GACAACGCUGGCGGCGUGCCUAAUACAUGCAAGUCGAGCGGAAUGAUGAAGAAGCUUGCUUCUUCUGAUUUUAGCGGCGGACGGGUGAGUAACACGUGGGCAACCUACCUUGUAGAUUGGGAUAACUCCGGGAAACCGGGGCUAAUACCGAAUAAUCCAUUUUGCUUCAUGGCGAGAUGUUGAAAGACGGUUUCGGCUGUCACUACAAGAUGGGCCCGCGGCGCAUUAACUAGUUGGUAGGGUAAUGGCCUACCAAGGCGACGAUGCGUAGCCGACCUGAGAGGGUGAUCGGCCACACUGGGACUGAGACACGGCCCAGACUCCUACGGGAGGCAGCAGUAGGGAAUCUUCCACAAUGGACGAAAGUCUGAUGGAGCAACGCCGCGUGAGUGAAGAAGGUUUUCGGAUCGUAAAACUCUGUUGUAAGGGAAGAACACGUACGAGAGUAACUGCUCGUACCUUGACGGUACCUUAUUAGAAAGCCACGGCUAACUACGUG